UGGAAAUAGAAUUUCGUAAAAUCCUAUUUGAGAUGAUUUCUGCAUGACAAAUAAAAGAUUACUACCAAAUUUAAAGUCUAUAGAGGUUACAGUUUGGAAAUAGAAAUUUCACAUUUUAACACCCACUACCGCAAUCUUUUUCGGCGGUGGGUUGUUGUAAAAUCCGCUCUUAAAUCAUUUCUGCAUCACAUAUAGACGACUCUAGCUAAAUUUGGAGUCUGUAGGAGCUACGCCUUAAAAAAUAAAAAUUUUCAUUGUUAAACCACCCCCGCAACCUACUGUGGGGUGAGCUACCGUAAAAUUCGUUCAUAGACUAUUUCUACAUCUCUUACAGAAGAUUCCUACCAAAUUUGGAAUUUAUAGGAGCUAUAGUUUAAAAACGGGAAUUGUUUAUUGUUAACGCCCCCGCAAUCCCCUUGGGGGGAUGAAUUUCUUAAAAUCCGUUUUUAGUUGACCUUUACAUAACGAAAGUAAUAUUCCUACCAAGUUUCACAUUUCUAAGACCUAUAGUUCCCGAGAUUUCGUGAUGAGUAACUAUAAAAAUUGGAAUUCUUAGCUGAAUGUAAAAGAACAUUAUCCGUUUAGUAAACUCCGUUGCCAUGGAAACAAAAGAAUCAAGCGAAAACGCUUGCAAUUAACGGGAUAAAUGUUCAUAAAAGUAAAACAGCAAUAAAAAAAUGAAGAAACGUUAGAAUUCGAAAAUAAAUAAUAAACCAUAUACCAUCUAGGAAAAAUUUCGCAUCGAAUAGUGGUAGUUUCAUGUCGAUACGAUCAGUGGUUUAGGCGUGAAAGAGCCUCAAACGAAGACCAUUUUCAUUAUAUAUAUAUAGAUUACACCCUUCACAAGUUCACAAACAAAAUGGCGGAGCUGUCAAAUUUAGUUCCAGGAUUCCCGUCGGCAAUGAGUGGCGGCGCGGACUAUACAAUAUACAUCCAAGUCAGGUGAGCAGCAGUUGCAGCUGGCAAAUGUAGCUCUAGGUAUGCCAGGUACUGGCGAAGUUGGAGAAGGUUCUGCUGCCACUGCAUUGCUUGGGGAGGAUGAAGCUGGUGCUGCAAGCUUAGCGCGCCGGUUGUCUACUCGGCUUCACAUACCAGUUUAUAUCUGUAUGGGACAAACCUUUGACCGCUUUACAAGUCCACUUGUUGAAAAGGGUAUUGCAAUGGAAAUAAA